UACAGAGGGUGCAAGCGUUAAUCGGAAUUACUGGGCGUAAAGCGUGCGUAGGUGGUUUACUAAGUCAGGUGUGAAAUCCCCGGGCUCAACCUGGGAACUGCGCUUGAUACUGGUAAACUAGAGUGCGGCAGAGGGGGGUAGAAUUCCACGUGUAGCAGUGAAAUGCGUAGAUAUGUGGAGGAAUACCGAUGGCGAAGGCAGCCCCCUGGGUCGACACUGACGCUCAUGCACGAAAGCGUGGGGAGCAAACAGG
rnacentral:rRNA from 1 species